rnacentral:rRNA from 1 species
CGGAUUGAAGGCUGAAAUUCGCCUUCAUGAAGCCGGAAUUGCUAGUAAUGGCAGGUCAGCAUACUGCCGUGAAUACGUUCCCGGGCCUUGUACACACCGCCCGCCACACCAUGAGAGUUGGGGAUACCCGAAGCCUGUGAGCUAACUUUUAGAGGCAGCAGUCGAAGGUAGAAUCAAUGAUUGGGGUGAAGUCGUAACAAGGUAAC